rnacentral:rRNA from 1 species
AUUGAACGCUGGCGGCAGGCCUAACACAUGCAAGUCGAGCGGAUGAAGGGAGCUUGCUCCUGGAUUCAGCGGCGGACGGGUGAGUAAUGCCUAGGAAUCUGCCUGGUAGUGGGGGAUAACGUCCGGAAACGGGCGCUAAUACCGCAUACGUCCUGAGGGAGAAAGUGGGGGAUCUUCGGACCUCACGCUAUCAGAUGAGCCUAGGUCGGAUUAGCUAGUUGGUGGGGUAAAGGCCUACCAAGGCGACGAUCCGUAACUGGUCUGAGAGGAUGAUCAGUCACACUGGAACUGAGACACGGUCCAGACUCCUACGGGAGGCAGCAGUGGGGAAUAUUGGACAAUGGGCGAAAGCCUGAUCCAGCCAUGCCGCGUGUGUGAUGAAGGUCUUCGGAUUGUAAAGCACUUUAAGUUGGGAGGAAGGGCAGUAAGUUAAUCCCUUGCUGUUUUGACGUUACCAACAGAAUAAGCACCGGCUAACUUCGUG